GGGCCCGCACAAGCGGUGGAGUAUGUGGUUUAAUUCGAUGCAACGCGAAGAACCUUACCAGGGUUUGACAUCCUGCGAAUCUCUUGGAAACAGGAGAGUGCCUUCGGGAACGCAGUGACAGGUGGUGCAUGGCUGUCGUCAGCUCGUGUCGUGAGAUGUUGGGUUAAGUCCCGCAACGAGCGCAACCCACGUCUUUAGUUGCCAGCAUUCAGUUGGGCACUCUAGAGAGACCGCCGGUGAUAAACCGGAGGAAGGUGUGGAUGACGUCAAGUCAUCAUGCCCCUUACAUCCUGGGCUACACACGUACUACAAUGGCAGUGACAAUGGGCAGCAAGUUCGCGAGGACAAGCAAAUCCCAUAAACCGUGGCUCAGUUCAGAUCGUAGGCUGCAACUCGCCUACGUGAAGGCGGAAUCGCUAGUAAUCG
rnacentral:rRNA from 1 species